GCCUAACGCAUGCAAGUCGAACGAGAGAUGAGGAGCUUGCUCUUCAAAUCGAGUGGCGAACGGGUGAGUAACGCGUGAGGAACCUGCCUCAAAGAGGGGGACAACAGUUGGAAACGACUGCUAAUACCGCAUAAGCCCACGGCUCGGCAUCGAGCAGAGGGAAAAGGAGUGAUCCGCUUUGAGAUGGCCUCACGUCCGAUUAGCUAGUUGGUGAGGUAACGGCCCACCAAGGCGACGAUCGGUAGCCGGACUGAGAGGUUGAACGGCCACAUUGGGACUGAGACGCGGCCCAGACUCCUACGGGAGGCAGCAGUGGGGAAUAUUGCACAAUGGGGGAAACCCUGAUGCAGCGACGCCGCGUGGAGGAAGAAGGUCUUCGGAUUGUAAACUCCUGUUGUUGAGGAAGAUAAUGACGGUACUCAACAAGGAAGUGACGGCUAACUACGUGCCAGCAGCCGCGGUAAAACGUAGGUCACAAGCGUUGUCCGGAAUUACUGGGUGUAAAGGGAGCGCAGGCGGGAGAACAAGUUGGAAGUGAAAUCCAUGGGCUCAACCCAUGAACUGCUUUCAAAACUGUUUUUCUUGAGUAGUGCAGAGGUAGGCGGAAUUCCCGGUGUAGCGGUGGAAUGCGUAGAUAUCGGGAGGAACACCAGUGGCG
rnacentral:rRNA from 1 species